UAUCUGCGAUGUACGUGACAGUUUACAUUAAUUCAACCGACAAAUCAGACACGGGAAACUGUGUUUAGGGUCAUAUGACAAGCCUCCUUAGAGUGGAAGUCAGAAAGCCUUAAUAAGUUACCCACCUUAAUUAUGGGGCGGGUCUGAAUUAAUCAACAAACGGCAUUGCGGAUUUU
rnacentral:other from 1 species